ACGGCCAGUGGUGCUUGCUGUGAAGAUCCAAUGGUCUGGGGCUUGAUUUGUGUUUUAACAGGACUCGGAGAUCGUUCUUGAGUCAAAUUGGUCCGAUUGAAGGUCUUUAAAAGACCCUGUGGGCAGCAGACGAGAACAAAGUGUGACAGAGAACUUCUGUAGUCACCUGAGAGCAACAGAGAGCUGUGAGAGAGAGAUUCUCCCAAGUGCUUUUGUAAGGGGUGUAUGUGCGGUCUUCCAAGAGAGAAGAGAGAUGUUCACAAGGGAGAAGAUAGGUUUCUUCCAAGAGAGAAGAAGAGCGCGUGCAAGGCUAGAGUAAGGAUUUUCUUCUAGAAGGC
rnacentral:lncRNA from 1 species